GUGGUAUUCACGUGACGUCACGGCAGAGCAGUCUGGCGGGCGCUGUAGCGGAAAAGGCACAAGCUGCGUUGGCCACUAUGAAACCGCCAUAUUUUUGGGGAGCCGGUGUCAACAAAGCUUAUCUCCGCUGUUGAAGCGCUGCCGAUGUGUGUUUUUUUACUUUAGGAGGGGUCACUAAAGUGCCUAUCUUUUGCAACUUUGCAAGCAUGAAUGCCAGCCCCUCGUUAGUGCACUUAAGCACGUACGCGCAGAAUUUAGAGGCCGGUGCGAAGGUGCGCUACGUCGAGAAAGUGGAGCUUUGAGGUGGCGUCGAUCCACUUAUGCUUACUGGCAAAGAGGCGUCAUUUGAUCUCGCGCUCGUAUCCAAGGUAGAACUUUCUGAUAUUAAGGACUACCUUGUGCACGCUACAAGCUUCAUAACUCACGAACAGCUGAAAGCAAGAAAAUAUCUGGAAUCACACAACUAUUUGACCAGCGGCUUUGUUCAAGAACCCCAGCUGAGAAGACACGGCGAGCACAUCAUUGUGCGCACGAAGGUAAACCACUCCCAGGCAAUUUCCACUCAGCCACUGGAGCCAUGGCUUCUUGUCAAGCAGGAUGGAAUGGUCGAAGCUGCACACUGCACGUGUAUGGCCGGUCUCGGCGAAGCCUGCUCGCACAUUGGUCUGUAAAGAUGUGGAAGCGGCAACGAGAGGUCAGUCGGCCUCAGCAACGUGGUUCGCCUUCAGAGCAGGCCGGGUCGCGGCAUCGACAGCCCACGCAGCUUGCCGAACGACCUUGACUCAGCCAUCUGUGAGCCUGGUGAAGAUCUGCUACCCUGAGGAGAGCAAGUUUUCUUCUGCUGCAACUAAUUGGAGUCUGCGCAAGGAGGACACUGCCAGGAACCAAUAUGUUACUGAAGCAUCCAGCCAGCACAAAGAGUUUGUUUCCAACAAGUCUGGAUUGCAUAUUAGUUCACAUGAGCCCCACAUGGCAGCAAGCCCAGAUGGCCUGAUUUAUUGUGCCUGCUGCCAAGAUGGUGUUUUAGAAAUUAAGUGCCCAUAUUCAGCUGCUUGUGUAAAUGACGUUGUGACC